UUCCUGUAGCGUCAAUCCUAUCCUCUGCCUUCUACACAAUUUUCAAUCUGUUUGCGGGGUUUCUGAUUCCUCAACCGGUAAGCUACUAAUCUCCACUUGGAAAGCCUGCAAAAAUGAAAAACCCUUUUAAGUCUGUUCUUUCUAAUUUCAUUUAGUAAUGUGAAUCUGCAACUGACCUGGCCAUGCUGUUCUUUGCUUCUUGCAGCAAGUUCCUAAAUGGUGGCUUUGGUUGUUUUAUCUGACUCCUACAUCUUGGUCAAUAACCGGUAUGCUUACUUCACAGUAUGGCGACAUCCACAAGGACAUU
rnacentral:lncRNA from 1 species